AUUGAACGCUGGCGGCAUGCUUUACACAUGCAAGUCGAACGGCAGCGCGGGGGCAACCCUGGCGGCGAGUGGCGAACGGGUGAGUAAUGCAUCGGAACGUAUCCUGUAAUGGGGGAUAACGUAGCGAAAGUUACGCUAAUACCGCAUACGCUCGAGAGAGGAAAGUGGGGGAUCGCAAGACCUCACGUUAUAGGAGCGGCCGAUGUCCGAUUAGCUAGUUGGUGGGGUAAAGGCCUACCAAGGCGACGAUCGGUAGCUGGUCUGAGAGGAUGAUCAGCCACACUGGGACUGAGACACGGCCCAGACUCCUACGGGAGGCAGCAGUGGGGAAUUUGGACAAUGGGCGAAAGCCUGAUCCAGCCAUGCCGCGUGCGGGAAGAAGGCCUUCGGGUUGUAACCGCUUUAGUCCGGGAAAAGGGUGCGAGGAUAAUACCCUCGUGCUUUGAUGGUACUGGAAGAAUAAGCACCGGCUAACUACGUGCCAGCAGCCGACGGUAAAU
rnacentral:rRNA from 1 species